GAUUCUGUAAAUUUUUGUUCCCAGAAGAUUAGUCUGGGAAUUCUUAGGCAGUGACUAUUCAUGUGACUAAGAAUUGUUCAUGUAAAUACAUGAAUUUAAAAUUUUGUUAAUAGAAUGCAGACAUUAACACUGACUGAGCCUUCCUGCAAUGUGUCUGCUGCACAUUUUCUGCCCUCCUGACUUUUCCUUUUUUCAAAAAUUAUAAUCCUGGAAUAGAUGGUUUUGAAUUUGAGCUUUACAUUUCAGAUGUGUAUAAACUAACUGGCAGAGCCAUGUUACUAGCUCUGAAACUUUGGGUUGCUCUCUGCAUUUCAAAAAUUAAUCCUUCUAGUGCUUUGAAUUACAAGCGUGCUCCGAGAACAUGCUGUAAAUGGUAAUGAAACUGUAUUAAGUCAACAUUAAGGUAAAUUAUGAAACAAAAAUGUACAAUUCAAUACAUUCAGUUUCAAAAUAGAGACUGGACGGUGCCUGUAUCUAUAUAGGUAAUCAAAAGUAUGGUUGUUUGUUAAUAAUUAAAAUUUGCCUUCCGCUUAUACAAAACUGUGGAACUAAUCAUGUUCUAUCUGUUUUCAAAGAUACUUUUAAUAUACUUAGAGCCUAUUAUUCAUCCAUGUGCUGAUAGAAUUAUUGGAAACUGAAAUCUAGGCUGUACACCAGGGUUUACUUUUUGUUGUAGUCAGAAGAUGUUUUUUAUGGGUGACAAUCUCUGCAUUUUUUAGCUAUCUUGAGCAGCUUGGGAUUUAAGAAAAUAUUUUGUUUAGUGUACAUUUAAUCUGUUCUCAUUUUCCUAAGUGUGUACAUCACUUGCAUGGCAUAUUAUGGAAUUGAUUGAUCUAAUGACAUUGAUUUAUGAUCUGCUGUCUGAGCUAGCUUCGUUGCUGCUCCAAUGCCUUACUACUUUAGGAUGCAAAAUUUUUGAAUUAAGGUUGCAUUAAGAGGCAAUGCUGUCCCCUCAUUUGCAUGUGCCAAACAUCAUGCUUAAUUGCUUGAGAGAGAAUAUAUGUAUAUGUUAUAUAUAAAGAAAAAUCUAUUUUAAAAGCUUUUUAAGAACUCUUUGUCUUCCAUGUGGCAUGAAGAGCAUUUCUGGAGGGGAGGGGAAAGAAACAGAGUACUGUCUGAGGUAAAUUUGAUAGUAGAAGAUGAGGUAAAACAAGAGGCACUUAGGCUAAUUUAAUUAAUGCCAUGGUGAAUUUAAGAAUAUGCUGUCCUCUACGAGCAUAAACAUAGAUCAGUAACAGCAUUAAGGACGCAGUAUUAGACUGCACCUGUUGGGUUUCAAACUGAAUUCAGACCUUGUUUCAGUAUCGCAGUUGGGACUGGCAGUUGCUGAAGGGAUUAAAUUAUUUAAAGCCUUCAGCUGGCUAGUGUAGGCUAGCAGUAGCUUAUAAAACACUUAAUCUAUUUUUUUAAUCUCUUCAUAUGUUUGCUUUACUUAGACAGUAAAACUAUACAUGACACACACCUGCCACAUUCUGAAGCUUCUUUGUCAGAUAUUUUAGACUUAUCAAUUAGAGCAGCCUUUAAACUGUAACCAUUUGGACGUCUUUGACAAUACAGUUCUUGUUAGCCUCUAUGUUUUCUUUGAUGAACUCAAAACCGAGGAUGAAGUACGUAGAAAUGAAGUUCUUCCACAAUUUCUUUUAGAGCAGAGUUUCCCUUUGAAAAGCAAAUGCUGCUCUCCAGCUAAUUACUGUUUACUCUUACAAUUUCAUUUGUGUUUUUAAAAAAGAAACGAAUUCCCAACAGAUUGGAGCUCUGGACCUAUUUUUUGUGGUGCAUUAACCAACUGCUUACACAGUAGUACAGUAAACCAGUUCAAAAAUAGGUAAUACUGUUUAGCUUGUUACGUGAUAUGUCUCUUGUUUCUAGAAAGCUAAGAGUAAGUAGUGAGUAGUUACGAUAUGGAUUGGAUGGAAAAGCAAUCUGGAUAGCUGUGCAACACAGGAUUAAUUAGGUAAAUCCUCUUAGGUUUGAUUAGCCAUUACUUAGAUCUACAGUUUAUUUUGUCAUUGGUUGCUCCUAUUAAUGUUUUCUUUCUGUCAAAGUUUAUUAUGCAGGUUUCAGGUUUGUAUCAUACCUUUUUUGUGUCAAAGUGAAAUACCAAUAAAUUAACUUCCAACCUUACAAAUAAUAAGCAAAGCAUUGCCUGAAGUUGAUUCAAAUAAAUGUUGACAUUCUCUUAAGAGUCUUUUAUAGUAAUAAUGGAUAAUUCCUGUUUUUUUCAGCAAAUGAUGUGUUACAUCUUUUUAAUAUGGCUUUCAGCGUUAAGUUGCAGGACAAGUGGGCAUAUAUAUCUGCUAACAAGGAUGAGUAAAUGCUUAUUCAUGGAGAUGAGAUGGUUCCUGCAGUCUGCUCUUCAUAAAAAGCAGAAUACACCAUUGUUCAGGAAUGUGAGAGGAAAAAACAGAGGAGAAAUAAAAAUUCUUACCCUUCAAGUGACACAGAAAUGAACAGACAGACACUUCAGGCCCAUAGCUAGAUGUCUCAGCCAACUGAGGGGGGAAAUAUGCAAAAAGGCCUGCCAUGUUUCUGGACUGCCAGGGGCACAAAACAACACCACAGCUACUGUGGGCACAUCCAUGGUGGUUUCACUCUGCAUUGAAACUACAUCAGAGAGAGGAAAUUCUACAGAUGACUGCAAAAUCUUUCACCGUAUGCUGCUCAUUCCACGACUGAUGGGGACAGUUGGAAAAACAUUGAAGAAUCUUUGGCAAAAUGGUGCAGUUACUAUCCACCAUCUUUACGUUAGGAGGAGAAAGGUGAGCUUAAGCCUCAGGGUGUAUCUUCCCUUUCUGUCUCUCUUCCAGAUGAUGUUGGGGUGCAGCUCCCCACAUCCACCGUUGUUGGUGUGUGUCAUUCGCAACCUGCUAAGAAGCAUUUUAGAUAAUUGAGCAGUGUGGUAGAUACAUGAUUGGCAGCAACCGUGGUUUUGCUGAGCUACUGCUUAGUCGGAAACUGAUUUUGAGGCAUUGUCAGUCAGCACUCCCUGCUGUGGAAUGAGAUGUACCCGCUGGCCUUAUGAGACAAACUCGUUUCAAGAACUUUAGUAAUAGGAGAGUGACUAUCAAUGGAAGAGAUGGAAGAGAGAACAGCUUUUUCUUUUACCUCUUUUUUUGAAAAAAAAAACACCCAAAACCAUAAACCACACAGUCUGGAAUACUUGCACAUUCCCAAUGUCAGGAAUGGGAUUUUAUUUCUAAGGUAUUCUUAUAGAAUAAAAUAUUAGGAGAGUUUUUAUUUUGAUUAGCACCUAGAUUAGGUUCAGCAAGUUUUGCAAUGUUUACCAUUCUUUUCUGGGAGCUACUGAUUAAACCUGCUUUUCUACUAUGGAAGACUGAUUCAACUCAAUGGGAAGGAUUCAUGAAACUGUAAUGAUUUUGUAAAUAUUUGUGAUAAAUAAUGUCAAUGUGUUGCGAUGCAAUCAAACUGUGGCAUUUAAAACCUUUUUUUUUCCCCCUAAAUACUUCAGCUCAGCAACUCCUAAGGGCUGCCUUGAUGUGUCUUAGGUAGAAGAACCUUGGUACAGAUGUCUAAAGCAAACCUUUUAGGGGAUGGAUUAACUACCUCAUUUCUAGAUACUAAGCAAGACCAGUAUACAGAGAAGGACUACAGAGACAGACAAAAUUAUUUUAACAUAUCUGGGGAAAAAAAAAGUGAACUUCUCAUUGUGAUUUGUGGAUAUAGGAAGUUGUGAGUUUUCUGUGGACUGAAAUAAAUUAUUUUCAAGCAACGUUAGAUUUAUUCCCUGCCACAAAUUACUUUUAAUGGUGAAAAUAUAUGCUCUCUAGCUCAGAUAAAAUAAGACUCCAAACUAAUAUUGACUUAGGGUUAGAGUGAAAAAUAAGUUUCACUUUCUCAUAUUAAAUGAAUUCCAAAUUAAGUCUUAUAUUAAAAUGUUAGAAAGAGGUCUUAAAAAUAAAUUGCUUUGGAGGCCUCACAACUUCAUUAUUGUUUGUCUAAUAAACAUCAAGCUUUAAAAAUUAUACUCUGAAAAGAAGCUGAACAGUAUUAUUCAGAAAGGAACUUUGCCAAAGAUGUUUUAAUGAAUGUUUGAUUCCACAGCUGCUUAGUGAAUGUAAUAAGGUACAUAACGCAAUGUGAAAUAAUUGUAAAUAAUGUAAAUGCAACUGAUGCUAGAAAUGGCAGAAUUGAGUCUGCUAGACCAGAAGGCAUUUCUGACGCCACUGUUGAAAGAUAUGCUUACCAGAAUGAAAAGGAAAAAGGAUAAAUGACCAGGUUGCUGCAAUCAAGAUAUUCCAUUACUGAUCAGAAAUACAGCUAAUUUUUUUUCUUAGGGAUAUAAAGCAAAACAGUUAAGAGACACGAGUUAACCAGCUCAUUUUUAAGCACCACUUAGUGCAAAGGCUACAGACAGUGAUUAAUUAGUUUUAAGUGCCUUAUACUAAGAAGUGCACUGUUAAAGAACUAGAUAACUAGGCAAUUUCCUCUUGUAUAUUUAAUUAAAGAUAAUAUUUUGAGCUUGGAAUUAGAAUGUCAGAAAGUUAAAGAAGUAAUUAUUGAAUUAAACUAGUGCUUUUCAGUAUGGUUUGCUGAGCAGACUGCUAUUCUGGCUUAAAAGCCUUAUAUAAGCAGCUAAAGCAAUCUUUCACACAUGUAAUAGAUACAACUGUUUAAUAAAAAUGAAUGAAGAGCCUCUCAUACCCUGCUGUGAAACAGUUAUUAGUUUUAGUGUAAUACAGGAAUUUGCAUCCACUAAAGAUUUAAAUGGUAAAGAAUGUUUGAUGACUGAUAGUUACGUUUUAUGUACUAAAAUAAACAUAUUUAUACAUUUUUUUUAAUUCACAAGUAAAAAACUGUCACCAUGUCAGUAAAAAGCUGAUUUCCAUGUUUUUAUGGCAUGUAAUGAUGAAUGGAGCCACACUAACAAUCCUGGUUUGGGUUUUUCUUUCUUGUACUUUUCUCAGUGAAUCUUGACCUCAGAGUGCUGCUUGUUCAGGUUAUGUUGAUACAUGUGUAAUCAGCACUUGAAGAACUGGGAAAAUAUCAGAGUAAAAUCUUGAUCCCACCCAUAUCAAUGAUGUACUUUUAGAAAAUCUCCAUGAGACUGGUAUUAUAUUUCUUGGGCUUUACAUGGUGUACACAUUUUUAUGUCUUUCAGGAGAGGGAAAAUGUUGUUGGCAGCCCUACAAUAAUGAAUAACACUAGCACUGGCAAAUUUUCUUCCUUCAGGAAAUAAGGGUUCCUGAGGCAGGCUGGCAGCUGGUGCACUGAUAUGACUCUGCCUGUAGUGCUGGCCAACAUUGUCUCCUUUUGCCUCGUAUCCCCCCUU